rnacentral:rRNA from 1 species
UGGGGAAUAUUGCACAAUGGGCGCAAGCCUGAUGCAGCCAUGCCGCGUGUAUGAAGAAGGCCUUCGGGUUGUAAAGUACUUUCAGCGGGGAGGAAGGCGAUAAGGUUAAUAACCUUGUCGAUUGACGUUACCCGCAGAAGAAGCACCGGCUAACUCCGUGCCAGCAGCCGCGGUAAUACGGAGGGUGCAAGCGUGAAUCGGAAUUACUGGGCGUAAAGCGCACGCAGGCGGUCUGUCAAGUCGGAUGUGAAAUCCCCGGGCUCAACCUGGGAACUGCAUUCGAAACUGGCAGGCUAGAGUCUUGUAGAGGGGGGUAGAAUUCCAGGUGUAGCGGUGAAAUGCGUAGAGAUCUGGAGGAAUACCGGUGGCGAAGGCGGCCCCCUGGACAAAGACUGACGCUCAGGUGCGAAAGCGUGGGGAGCAAACA